rfam:Halalkalicoccus jeotgali B3, complete genome.
CUGAAGGGCGCGUACGGGUCAAUUGCGGACUGCAACACCCACUCUCCCUCAUAACGCCUCCCGGAAUGGAGGUCCAGCAGGGGGAACGCGUGACCGUCAG